GACGAACGCUGGCGGCGUGCUUAACACAUGCAAGUCGAACGGAAAGGCCCUGCUUUUGUGGGGUGCUCGAGUGGCGAACGGGUGAGUAACACGUGAGUAACCUGCCCUUGACUUUGGGAUAACUUCAGGAAACUGGGGCUAAUACCGGAUAGGAGCUCCUGCUGCAUGGUGGGGGUUGGAAAGUUUCGGCGGUUGGGGAUGGACUCGCGGCUUAUCAGCUUGUUGGUGGGGUAGUGGCUUACCAAGGCUUUGACGGGUAGCCGGCCUGAGAGGGUGACCGGCCACAUUGGGACUGAGAUACGGCCCAGACUCGUACGGGAGGCAGCAGGGGGGAAUAUUGCACAAUGGGCGGAAGCCUGAUGCAGCAACGCCGGGUGCGGGAUGACGGCCUUCGGGUGGUAAACCGCUUUCGCGUGUGACGAAGCGUGAGUGACGGUAAUGGGUAAAGAAGCACCGGCUAACUACGU
rnacentral:rRNA from 1 species